rnacentral:rRNA from 1 species
AGGGUUCGAUUCUGGCUCAGGAUGAACGCUGGCGGCGUGCUUAACACAUGCAAGUCGAACGGGAUCCAUCAGGCUUUGCUUGGUGGUGAGAGUGGCGAACGGGUGAGUAAUGCGUGACCGACCUGCCCCAUGCACCGGAAUAGCUCCUGGAAACGGGUGGUAAUGCCGGAUGCUCCAUCACAUCGCAUGGUGUGUUGGGAAAGCCUUUGCGGCAUGGGAUGGGGUCGCGUCCUAUCAGCUUGAUGGCGGGGUAACGGCCCACCAUGGCUUCGACGGGUAGCCGGCCUGAGAGGGCGACCGGCCACAUUGGGACUGAGAUACGGCCCAGACUCCUACGGGAGGCAGCAGUGGGGAAUAUUGCACAAUGGGCGCAAGCCUGAUGCAGCGACGCCGCGUGAGGGAUGGAGGCCUUCGGGUUGUAAACCUCUUUUGUUAGGGAGCAAGGCACUUUGUGUUGAGUGUACCUUUCGAAUAAGCACCGGCUAACUACGUGCCAGCAGCCGCGGUAAUACGUAGGGUGCAAGCGUUAUCCGGAAUUAUUGGGCGUAAAGGGCUCGUAGGCGGUUCGUCGCGUCCGGUGUGAAAGUCCAUCGCUUAACGGUGGAUCCGCGCCGGGUACGGGCGGGCUUGAGUGCGGUAGGGGAGACUGGAAUUCCCGGUGUAACGGUGGAAUGUGUAGAUAUCGGGAAGAACACCAAUGGCGAAGGCAGGUCUCUGGGCCGUUACUGACGCUGAGGAGCGAAAGCGUGGGGAGCGAACAGGAUUAGAUACCCUGGUAGUCCACGCCGUAAACGGUGGAUGCUGGAUGUGGGGCCCGUUCCACGGGUUCCGUGUCGGAGCUAACGCGUUAAGCAUCCCGCCUGGGGAGUAC